ACGGGAGGCAGCAGUGAGGAAUAUUGGUCAAUGGGCGGAAGCCUGAACCAGCCAAGUCGCGUGAAGGAUGAAGGUAUUAUGUAUUGUAAACUUCUUUAGACGUAGAGAAAUAAGCAGGUCGUGACCUGUGAUGCUAGUAUACGUAGAAUAAGGAUCGGCUAACUCCGUGCCAGCAGCCGCGGUAAUACGGAGGAUGCGAGCGUUAUCCGGAUUUAUUGGGUUUAAAGGGUGCGCAGGCGGCACGUUAAGUCAGCGGUGAAAUGUCGGGGCUCAACCCGGGCACUGCCGUUGAAACUGGCGAGCUCGAGUACGGAUGAAGUUGGCGGAAUGUGAUGUGUAGCGGUGAAAUGCUUAGAUAUGUCACAGAACACCGAUUGCGAAGGCAGCUGACUAAUCCGCAACUGACGCUCAGGCACGAAAGCGUGGGGAUCGAACAGGAUUAGAUACCCUGG
rnacentral:rRNA from 1 species